ensembl:lncRNA
GGGAGGGGGAUGGGUAAACCUGGGGGAGGGUGAUUGUGUGUGUGUGUGUGUGUGUGUGUGUGUGUGUGUGUGUGUGGGUGCUCUGUUGUUACUGGUUGGGAGGGAAAGAGAGAGAGAGACAGACAGACACAGAGAGAGUUGAGUCGUGUCCCAUAUGUGGAAAAAAGCAUAGUACUGCACACACAAGCCUAUCUGCUCCAGGGAUUAUCUAACUGGUUUUGAAUCUGAUGUGGAAAAUGCAGGCAUGAGUAGGAACACAUUUUUUAGAGUCCCAAUGUGAUUGCAGGCCAGCGAUGGACUACAGCCGUACAGAUGCUAACCUGGGUUUGACCGCAGAACUGUUACCGUAAUCGAGACCAGAUCCGCAGAAUGCUGAGUCCCAUUGUUCCCUAUAUCAAGAUCUGAUGACCCUUCAUCCAGGACCAGAUUUUCA